rnacentral:rRNA from 1 species
GAUGAACGCUGGCUACAGGCUUAACACAUGCAAGUCGUGGGGAAACGGCAUUAUGUGCUUGCACAUUCUGGACGUCGACCGGCGCACGGGUGAGUAUCGCGUAUCCAACCUGCCCCUUACUUGGGGAUACCCCGUUGAAAGACGGCCUAAUACCCGAUGUGUUUCAUUGACGGCAUCCGAUAUGAAACAAAGGUUUUUCCGGUAAGGGAUGGGGAUGCGUCUGAUUAGCUAGUUGGCGGGGCAACGGCCCACCAAGGCGACGAUCAGUAGGGGUUCUGAGAGGAAGGUCCCCCACAUUGGAACUGAGACACGGUCCAAACUCCUACGGGAGGCAGCAGUGAGGAAUAUUGGUCAAUGGACGCAAGUCUGAACCAGCCAAGUAGCGUGCAGGAUGACGGCCCUAUGGGUUGUAAACUGCUUUUAUGUGGGAAUAAAUUGGCGCACGUGUGCGCCAUUGCAUGUACCUCAUGAAUAAGGACCGGCUAAUUCCGUGCCAGCAGCCGCGGUAAUACGGAAGGUCCGGGCGUUAUCCGGAUUUAUUGGGUUUAAAGGGAGUGUAGGCGGUCUGUUAAGCGUGUUGUGAAAUUUAGGUGCUCAACAUUUAACUUGCAGCGCGAACUGUCAGACUUGAGUACACGCAGCGCAGGCGGAAUUCAUGGUGUAGCGGUGAAAUGCUUAGAUAUCAUGAGGAACUCCGGUCGCGAAGGCUGCCUGCGGGAGUGUUACUGACGCUCAAGCUCGAAAGGUGCGGGUAUCGAAAAGG